rnacentral:rRNA from 1 species
UACGUAGGGGGCAAGCGUUGUCCGGAAUUAUUGGGCGUAAAGCGCGCGCAGGCGGCUUCGUAAGCCCAGUGUUUAAGCUCGGAGCUCAACUCCGAUACGCACUGGGAACUGCGAGGCUUGAGUGCAGAAGAGGAAAGUGGAAUUCCACGUGUAGCGGUGAAAUGCGUAGAUAUUGGGAAGAACACCUGAGGCGAAGGCGGGGUUGCUGGGCUGACACUGACGCUGAGGCGCGAAAGCUAGGGGAGCAAACGGG